UACGUAGGCAGCGAGCGUUGUUCGGAGUUACUGGGCGUAAAGCGUGCGUAGGCGGUUUUGUAAGUUUGGUGUGAAAUCUCCCGGCUCAACUGGGAGGGUGCGCCGAAAACUGCAAGGCUGGAGUAUGGGAGAGGUAGGCGGAAUUCCUGGUGUAGCGGUGAAAUGCGCAGAUAUCAGGAGGAACACCGGUGGCGAAGGCGGAUCUCUGGGCCAUUACUGACGCUGAGGAGCGAAAGCGUGGGGAGCGAACAGG
rnacentral:rRNA from 1 species